rnacentral:rRNA from 1 species
AACGAACGCUGGCGGCAGGCUUAACACAUGCAAGUCGAGCGAAGACUUCGGUCUUAGCGGCGGACGGGUGAGUAACGCGUGGGAACGUACCCUUUACUACGGAAUAACGCAUGGAAACGUGUGCUAAUACCGUAUGUGCCCUUCGGGGGAAAGAUUUAUCGGUAAAGGAUCGGCCCGCGUUGGAUUAGCUAGUUGGUGGGGUAAAGGCCUACCAAGGCGACGAUCCAUAGCUGGUCUGAGAGGAUGAUCAGCCACAUUGGGACUGAGACACGGCCCAAACUCCUACGGGAGGCAGCAGUGGGGAAUCUUAGACAAUGGGGGCAACCCUGAUCUAGCCAUGCCGCGUGAGUGAUGAAGGCCUUAGGGUUGUAAAGCUCUUUCAGCUGGGAAGAUAAUGACGGUACCAGCAGAAGAAGCCCCGGCUAACUCCGUGCCAGCCGCCGCCGUAAAAC